rfam:Picea glauca, whole genome shotgun sequence.
AUGUACAUGCCUACAACAUAGCAUUAUUGCAGUGGAUCCCAUUAGAACUCUACAGUUAAUUGUAAUUAGGCUAAAGUAGUACUGGGAUAGGUGAUCGCCUGGGAAGUCCUAGUGUUUUACAUG